AUUGAACGCUGGCGGUAUGCUUAACACAUGCAAGUCGAACGGUAACAUAAGAGAGUCUUGCUCUCUUGAUGACGAGUGGCGGACGGGUGAGUAAUAUAUAGGGAACCUUCCUCAUAGUUUAGGGAUAAGCACUCGAAAGAGUGUCUAAUACUGGAUGUGAACUACGGUUUAAAGCAGGGGAUCUUCGGACCUUGUGACUAU
rnacentral:rRNA from 1 species